rnacentral:rRNA from 1 species
UACGUAGGGGGCAAGCGUUGUCCGGAAUCAUUGGGCGUAAAGAGCGUGUAGGCGGCUCGAUAAGUCUGCUGUGAAAGUCCAGGGCUCAACCCUGGAAGGCCGGUGGAAACUGUCGGGCUAGAGUCCGGAAGAGGCGAGUGGAAUUCCUGGUGUAGCGGUGGAAUGCGCAGAUAUCAGGAGGAACACCAAUAGCGAAGGCAGCUCGCUGGGACGGUAUUGACGCUAAGGCGCGAAAGCGUGGGGAGCAAACAGG